CCCAUGCUGAGUGUCCCCCUCCUUGCAGUGCUGAGAGUGGCAUUUUGAAUGGAACACUUUGGGAAUUUAAACAGGGGCGAGGCUGCAGGUGUCACCUCCCAGCCUCUGCACGUCGGGACCGCAGCCAAUGCAACGAAAAUCUCACACCUGACCUGUCCUGCAAUAAAUCCCAGCGUUUUCUGCUCAGGCAUGCUUGCUUUUCCUUAAUGAAGCAAGGUCUGAGUGUGAUCCAAAGGUGAGGCAAAGACAGGAGGAAUUUAGUGAGCAGUGCAACACAUUUGAAGACCCUUUAGUUCAGGGUAUUCGAUAAGUAAAAUAUUUUAACAGCCUUGGGUCUGGGCAAUACAUGACUUAAUGCCAACACAACACUUAAUAGGAGUAAAAAAGAUGCUUUAAGCAAGUAAUAAGCAAAAAUAUCCUAGUAAAGCUAUAAACCACAAAGCAGUUAAUAAACAACACAGUUACAAAUGUUUCUUUUUAAUUAAACCAAGAAAAGAAACCUUGGGUCCACAAGUCUUGCCCUAAUCCAUAGAUCCAUCUUUUUCCCCUAUUUUCCUGUAGUAUUAAUUAUUUGGGAGGAAAUGUUUAAAUAUUCAGUUCUAACUUGCAUGUUUAUUGUAUCAGAACAACAAAUUGCUAGAAAUGCACCAGACAGAUGCCAGUCAUUGCUCCUGCAAUACUGCAAAGAGAGUGAAGUGUUGUAAAUCUCCAUUAUUUCACCCCUUUGAAGCAGGUGGAAAACACUGGAUGACCAGGCUUGUCAUUUUUGACUGAGUUUAUCCCCAUUUAGGAAAUAGGUACAGCAGAGGGGCUGGAUGUUGCAUUAGAGGCUGUCACCAGGGCUGAGAUUCAGAUAAGCUCCUCUGUUAGGCAGCCUCAAUUCCACAGUUUCUCUUCUUUCACCUUGACGAUGCCCCCAAACCAAACCAACUUUUAAUUCAGCUUGUCAUGUACUUUACAGUAAAAGUUGCUUUCUGGUAAACACAGAACAAGUUUUGCCACAUGCCUUACAGUACCAAGCUUACACGUCCAAGAACUUCCAAAAACGUGUCAAUACUGUCAGUGAGGAUGUGGGUGUUAGGAGUGAAGGAAAAAUGGGGGUUUUAGUUGGCAAAGCGGAAUUCUUUUGUGGAGGACUGACAAGGCGUGGUGCUGAGCCACAAAGGUGAUGAGUGGGCUCUCACUAGCUCUGCCUAAAUGAAACCCACAUUUUCCUUCCCAGCCUUGCAUUGGAAUAUCCUGAAAAGAGCAAAUGGAAGAGGAAUCAAGUUCAAAACACCAGGACAAACAGCACAGGUGCAAGAUCUAAAAUAUUCAGAACCAGAAUUAGAAGAUGAGACCAUCAUAAAGAAAAUGUGCUAAGGGACUAAACAUAAUGGAAGGCUCUGUUUCCCUGUUACCGUCUUCCUUCAAGGGCUCCAGCAGGAGAUCAAUGACUAAGACUUGUCCUCUGCUGUUAUUUCUUUGUCUCAGCUCCUUAGAAUGCUCUUUUCUUUCCUCACUUUAAUCUGGUCUGCUUGGCUCUCCUGAGGGGUAUUAAUUCAAUAAUUUUCUAGGCUAGACUCUGGCGUUGGAGACUUUCUCCUCCACCAGCCUGAUCUGUCCCUGCUUUCAAAACAAACACGUGAGCAGCUGGCACAUUUAUCUCAGAAACAAAGGGAUCUUAUGGCAAGCAAUUAAGCUAAGGAUCCUUCUCUAAAGCACCAGUUCUUUAAAUGAAUCGCCACAAAACAAUCCUUCAAAUUCCUGUGUGAGCCCUGCAAAGGAAAUGUGUGUGAGCAGUGGAGGGGCAGCACCAAUCUCUGCUCCCCGUGAACCGUGCCAGGGCUUGAGGGAAUGGCAUGAAGUGGUGUAGGAGAGGUUUGGGUUGGAUUUUAGGAGAAGAUUCUUCCUCCAGAGGGUGGUUGGGCACUGAAGAGGCUGCCCAGAGAAUGGGCACAGCCCCAAGGCUGCCAGAGCUCCAGGAGUUUGGACAACUUUCCAACUCCAGGAGUUUCUCAGGCAGAAGGUGAGAUUGUUGGGGUGUCUGUGCCACCAGGGGUUGGACUCUGAUCCUUGUGGAUCCCUUUCAAAUCAGGAUAUUCUGUGAUUCUGUAUUUCAAGUGCAGAGUGCAUAGGAUAACAAGAGGAUCUGUGAUCAUUAGGAAAUAAAACUAUAUUAAAAAACAAUUUAAAAUAUCCAUUCAAGUCCUCCAAGAUUGUAUUGAUGUUGGCAGUCAUUUAUUUCAGUGCCUAAGGAUUAUGAAACAACCUUAAAGUUUGUAAUUCUGCUGCAGCUGCCAUUUGAGAUUUGCAGAACAUUCUGGAAACACGAUUUAGCCACAUUUCAUACUUCAUCAGCCCCAAGGGUUUCGCUGAGGUGGAUUUCCCUUGUUUUA